rnacentral:lncRNA from 1 species
CUACAAGACUUGUGACUACAUGCUGCAUGUAAGAAUAAUUAUAGAUCCAACUUCUAUUUAGAAAGGUCCCAAAAUGUUUUACAAAAAAUAUAUUUGUAUGUUAACAUAUUUUUAUUUAUUUCUAUAAAAAAUUCUAUGAAAAUGAAAUAGUUUAUUCUGCAUGUAAUGUUUAAAUAGUUGAUUUUCAGAUAAUAUGAAUAAUUCCAGAAUAAAAGGUAAUGUUGUAUUGCAACUUGGUUUUCACUUCUUAAAAUAAUUUUACAAUCACCUCUAAUCCUCAUCUAUAUAUUUUUCCUAUUUUUUUUCUUUUUUGUCACGCUAUUAUUUUAAUCUCAUCAGAGCUCUUGCAAUUUCCAUUCAACUUCAAGCACUUCAUGGUCACCCAGUGAAUGGGCCCAGGAGCUCCUCCUGAUGCUUCUGGAUCAGAAUAGUCCCCUUCCUUGUUUUGUGCAUUGUAUUCAGUUUUUCUAUUCCUGUGUGGAGUUUAUGCCAUUCCUCAAGCAUUCAUCGGAAUUCCCUGCAUGUCCCUUGUCUACAUCCUUCUUCUUCUGCUUUUCGCACUAGAGGCCGUGUGGUACCAAAGAAGAGGGCACUUUCUGCACCCUUUCAAACCAUUUUUGACAAAAUGUUCAUUUCACUGAAAAAUUUGGAAGAUUCUGUACAGUGCUUGUACAGAUCACAGCUUUAGUUAUUGACUCUUUUAGGAAGAAAAAUUAAUUGGACAAGUUUGAUAUUCUAAGAAGUCAUGGUGGGUUGAUUUGGCAUGAUAAGGCACAGACCUGCACACUGCAAGGUCACCUAAAUACAAGUAAACAAAUAAAUCGAAAUUUAAAUGUUACUUAAUCAAUAGCAUAAACAAAUGAUGCAUUAAUUCAUGAUGUGUUUAGGUGGCCUUGUAAAAUGCAGGUUUUAGUAAUUUAAUGGUAAUUUGGUCAUUCAUCAGCAUCUCUCAUUUUUCACAUUGAAGUGUUUAAAACAUCCAAUCACAAUCUUAAAAGCAGCUAUAUUUUAAAUACAUAAAAUGAAUUACAGAUAUGGUCAGUGAUUAUGUGUUUCUAAAAUAAAGUCGAAGAAUAUUAGAAUCCAGUAGCCAUGAUACUCACUAACUUUGUAGAAUAUCUCACAAAUUUCACUUAAAUUACAUUUGGUAUUAACAUUAACUUUUAAAACAGAGGAAGAAUAAGGAGGAGUAGUACAUCUAUAGACUUGUCUUCAUUUUCUUGCCUGCAAGCUAUGAGUAGGAAAAGAAAACUGUAUCAUCAAAAACCUCCUGACAGGAAUGUCAGAGGAAUAAUUUGAGAAGUAUGAUAAGUCUAAAGCACCACGAGACCCCCAACCUUAUAACAUUUCUCUUCAACUCAGAUUCAGCAAAUCAGCAAAAGGAAAUGAACUGGCUGGGAUCCUUUUCUAAACUUUAUGCUAAUAUGUCAACUUUUACGAGUAGUUAAAAAGAAAGAUUGCGAUCACCUGCAUGAAAUCAUUCACCCUACUACGCCCAAAACCUACAAAAAGAUUGAAGAAGCUUCUGAUUUCCAACUGCGUUGCUCAAAUCUCCACAUGAAGCUCGGACAUUUGCUCAGAACUUUAUCUAUUCAUUUGAGGCCAUAGGAUUAGCCACUGCACACAUUCUUCGAGUUCAACACGCCACAUAUCAUGGAAUGUUCUACAGGCUUGUCGUGGUGACCCACUGCAAGAUACUCACAGAGAGCGGAAUAAAAACAAACUAGUAACAUAAUCGUUUGGUGUGACUGUAGUAGCACGAAGCAUU